rnacentral:rRNA from 1 species
UGCCAGCCGCCGCGGUAAAACGGAGGGUCCUAGCGUUGUUCGGAAGUGACUGGGCGUAAAGGGCGCGCAGGCGGUCUUGUCCGUCAGGUGUGAAAGCUCGGGGCUCAACCCCGGAAGUGCAUUGGAAACUGGCGAACUUGAGUACGGGAGAGGAAAGUGGAAUUCCGAGUGUAGGGGUGAAAUCCGUAGAUAUUCGGAGGAACACCAGUGGCGAAGGCGGCUUUCUGGACCGAUACUGACGCUGAGACGCGAAAGCGUGGGGAGCAAACAGGAUUAGAUA